ACAGCGAUGUUUAAAUUUUUUCAUGAAAGUUAACACAAAUUAUCUUCUUUAAACUUAAACGCAGCCAUUUUCUUAUCCGAAAAGAGAACAUGCUUUUUGGAGCUUUGAAUUGACUGGAGUUGCUUUGGAUUGAGGCUGUUUCAGGUAGAGACUGUUGCUUUUUUGUGGUUUGUUUGAGAUGAAAUCGGUGUUGGAAAUUCUGAGGUGGGGUCUUUGUGACGAUUUGUGAUGGAGCUUGGUUGGCUAUUAGUGGUAGGGCUUUGUUGGCUGCUGUCGAAGAUGCUGUGGAGUUAGUGAAGCGUUCCAGUCAAUUAAAGAUUCAGAAGUUGCAUGUUAAAUCUGCGAUAUUUUCUUCUAAGUUUUCGUUUUGUUGAAAAUGAGCGGUGUCAUGUUUAAAGAUGAAAUUCUUCUCUUUACUGUCUUUCUAAAGUCUCUAAAUUGAAAAAUAUUUUCAAAAUAAGGAGCGUUUUGCUUUUCAACAAACUUUUUUAAAACUCAAUUUUUUUUAUCCUUUUUUGAACGUAAAUUUCGAAAAAAAAUUAACGAAAAAAUUGCAGCUUCUUGCUAAAUAUUGGAUCAUGAUUUAUUGAUCUUCUUCAUCGAUUUGUUUAAAACUUUCUUUCGUGUAAAGAUUGAAAAAAUUCAAAAGAAUUUCAGAGAUAUGCUAAGCAAAAGCAAUAGAUAAGGAAACUAUAGCAACCCAAUUCAACUUUUCCGUGAAGAAAAUUCAACAAAAAUGGUGGGCCUUACUUCUGUAUGCAUUCGCUGCAUCAAAAAAUAAGAACCUUAACGUUGAUUGCUUAGAAGUAGAUACUAAUUUGCCAUGUAAAUGAAAAGUUUUUCUUUAUUACUCAAUAUGAAACAUCUCAAUUUUAAAAGUAUGUUUUAAUACUAAAUAACAUUUUAUCAUCAACAUACCUACAUAAACUUACAACGCAAUGUUAUAAAGAGCUAAAUAGUCCUUUAUGAGUGGUAACUUUCAUUUUCUAGAAAUUAUCCAUAAGAAAACAAAUCUUGUCUUUUACUAACUAAAACGUUUCAGUCGAGAUAUUUAUUUCACAUAAAACUUCUCGAUUAUUUAUUUUUAGGUAUAUUAUCUAAGAUAAAAAUCAAUAGCCAAUUAAAAAGCUUUUUGCUGUAAUUUUAAUAUUGGUAACCAUGUUCUUUGUUUAGACAAUUAGAAACAGUUAUUGAUUUAAAUUGAAAAAUAGUCCACAGUCAAAUAUUAUCAAUAAUUUGUGCCAAAAAUUGUUUCUUAUGAGCUAAGUUCGCAGGGUAGUUGGCGAGUACACAUAUUGAUUACGUGUAUUUUUUAGUUUUUCUAUCAAUUGAUGCCAACUUACUUUAUCGCUUCUUAAAUAGACUUUGUGACAUCGGUCAAGCAUCUUUCUAAGUAAUUUACUCUCAGCAAGAAAAAUUCGCCAUGAGCUUGUUCUUUCUUUCUUACAUUCUUCUAGCAUCUUUCAGGUUAUUUUUCUGUUUCCUUUGUACACUUCAAUUGAUUUAAUGCAUCUUCUUUUCUCUUCUAGGUACAUAUUUUUUUCGCUUUUGUCAGUUCGCAGAUUUUUGUUGCCCUGGAGUUUGACCAGCUACAAUUUUUGAUUAUAGCUUCUAUUACAUUUAUAAAUAUUCUUUUUUACUGCAGUCCCCAGUUUUAAGCACAGCACUGAAUAAAAAGAAUGAAGAUCCCAAUUUUGAUGAAUAAAAUAUCGCAGUUCAGAUUGCCAAGUUGAAAGGCCAUUUUGGACCCAUUAAAGGAAACACCCAUUUUACGCAGUAAUGCCCUACUGCUCCAUUCAUGGCGACGCCCCUUUUGUCCUUUCUCAACAAAAUCCAGAUUAAAACUCGUUCAAGAAUCUCCACAAAGGGUUAGCCCCUUUUGCAGCAACUUGGUUUGGUCUAAAUUCAUCAAAGACUUGGCCUCAUGCAAAAGAACAGAAUGGAAAUUUGAAAAUAUAGACUUUAACAGGUAAGUUUCUUUUUACACGUAUUUCUUUAGCUACAUUCUUUCUAAACACUUUUUUCUUUUUCUUUUAGGAUUUGGUUGAAUUCUUCAAAGUUUUUCUUUUGGACAGAUUUUUCUCGUCAUUACAUUUUUGCUUUGAACAACGUUUUAAAUAAGCUGUUUUUUGAGUUUUUGUUGUAGCAUUGUACGAAAGAAAAAAAUGACAAUUUGAAAAUAUGGACUUUGUAUAACAGGUAAGUUUCUCUUUACACGUAUUUCUUUAGCUACAUUCUUUCUAAACACUUUUUUCUUUUUCUUCUAGGAUUUGGCUGAAUUCUUUAAAGUUUUUCUUUUGAAC